UCAAAAUGAAAUGCUGAAAGAAGUAAACAUGGAACCUAGGAGCACAACGAGCACGACUUUUAAUACAUGAUAUGCUUUGCAUGUAGUGGUCCUAAACAUGAGUUCUAAUGCAGAUACAUGUGAAUAUAAACCUAAAGCAUAUUUUCUACCGAUUGAUAUUGACAACAUGUAUAGCUACCCUCCCCUUUACACUAGCUAACCC
rnacentral:lncRNA from 1 species